rnacentral:rRNA from 1 species
GACGAACGCUGGCGGCGUGCUUAACACAUGCAAGUCGAACGGAAAGGCCCUGCUUUUGUGGGGUGCCCGAGUGGCGAACGGGUGAGUAACACGUGAGUAACCUGCCCUUGACUUUGGGAUAACUUCAGGAAACUGGGGCUAAUACCGGAUAGGAGCUCCCGCUGCAUGGUGGGGGUUGGAAAGUUUCGGCGGUUGGGGAUGGAUUCGCGGCUUAUCAGUUUGUUGGUGGGGGAGUGGCUUACCAAGGCAUUGAAGGGUAGCCGGCCUGAGAGGGUGACCGGCCACAAUGGUACUGAGGUACGGCCCAGACUGCUACGGGGGGCAGCAGUGGGGAAUAUUGCACAAUGGGCGGAAGCCUGAGGCAGCGACGCCGCGUGCGGAAUGACGGCCUUCGGGUUGUAAACCGCUUUCGCCUGUGACGAAGCGUGAGUGACGGUAAUGAGUAAAGAAGCACCGGCUAACUACGUG